UGAGCGACUGCCGUUAUUAGAUUUGGACUGGAAACGCCAUUACAGAUUAAGUCAAAACAAGAUAGUAAUCCAUUUAGUGUUCAAAUAUUGUUAUAACCAUGAUUUGUUGUCUUCGUGACUUUCAAAGUAUAUAUAAGAAAAAAUCAUUUCACACACACGAAGCUUACUUCCCACAGUCCUGGACUAGAGGAGUAUUAGAAUAAUUAUAGAAACACCAAAACAAUCAAUGAUGUUAUCUUUUCUUUUUCUGUUGUGUUCAAUAACUUACUGAAUUAUACACACCAAAGAUCAUUAUGUGAAGUUAUAACAACAUUUGGUAAAUAUUUCGUCAUUCAUUUCCAAUCCAUUAUCACCGCUAUCAAUAAUACAAUAUCAAUGCAAUCUCACACAAUUAUCUGUUCUAGAAACAAAGGCAGAAAUAAGAGAAGUGGCAACUCGUCGCCAAAGGAAGGAAGCAAAGGAGACACAUAAAUAGCCGGAAGCUUUCUCCAGCAGCCACACUUGACUCCUCGUGUUUCCGAAAGCAGAAGAGUUGAACAGCCUUCACCAUGAAACUGACUGGCUUUAAGAUCCCUUUGCAGUUGCUUGCAUUUGCCCUGGUGUGCAACAUGUCCUCGGCGAUUGCUGAUCCUAUUGCUCUUCCUCUUCCUUUCCCUAUCGCUGAUCCUAUUGCUCUUCCUCUUCCUUUCCCUAUCGCUGAUCCUAUUGCUCUUCCUCUUCCUCUCCCUAUCGCUGAUCCUAUUGCUCUUCCUCUUCCUCUCCCUAUCGCUGAUCCUAUUGCUCUUCCUGAACCUCUUCCUAUCGCUGAUCCUAUUGCUCUUCCUCAAGAUUCCCCGAACACUGAAGGUGCGUGAGAGCGGCCCUUCGACGCCCCGAACAGCUGAUCUUGACCCCAGACCAUUUCUCCUGAAACUGAAUAAAUGCUUCGUCGGCCCGAACAGCUGAUCUUGACCCAAGACCAUUUCUCAUGAAACUGAAUAAAUGCUUGUAGUUGC